ACGGAGAGUUUGAUCCUGGCUCAGGAUGAACGCUAGCGGCAGGCUUAACACAUGCAAGUCGAGGGGUAACAUGGAAAAGCUUGCUUUUCUGAUGACGACCGGCGCACGGGUGCGUAACGCGUAUGCAACCUACCUCUUACUGGGGAAUAGCCCGGAGAAAUCCGGAUUAAUGCCCCAUAGCAUUACUUCUUCGCAUGUUGAAGUAAUUAAAGGUUACGGUAAGAGAUGGGCAUGCGUCCCAUUAGCUAGAUGGUAAGGUAACGGCUUACCAUGGCAACGAUGGGUAGGGGGCCUGAGAGGGUGAUCCCCCACACUGGUACUGAGACACGGACCAGACUCCUACGGGAGGCAGCAGUGAGGAAUAUUGGACAAUGGACGCAAGUCUGAUCCAGCCAUGCCGCGUGCAGGAAGAAUGCCCUAUGGGUUGUAAACUGCUUUUAUUUGGGAAUAAACCCCUCUACGUGUAGAGGGCUGAAGGUACCAAACGAAUAAGCACCGGCUAACUCCGUGCCAGCAGCCGCGGUAAUACG
rnacentral:rRNA from 1 species